rnacentral:lncRNA from 1 species
UAUAAUGAGAUCUUGACAUUGAUAGCAUCAGGACGGAGAUGCUAACCAGAUGCUUAGCCUCUUGAAAACAUGGAUAUAUAUUUGCUGUUUUUACUUUGUAUCUUAUACAGAUAGAUUUGUAGAUUCAACAAAAGAAAGUUUUACACCUUUUACUACUACCAAAGUUUUUCCCUCAAGCCCAAACCCCAACAAAGUUUUUUUUUUUUUUUUGGUAAAAAAACCCCAACAAAGUUGAGGUGGUUUUCCGGUUUAUGUUUAGAAAUCGAGAGAAAUGUUUGUUACAAAGGGGAACAGUCUGAGAUGUUUCACGUGGUGCAUGUAAUGCGGAUUUUAAUUUAUAGGAUAGAUAAACAUUUUAGAUUCAUAAAAUUUAUGUAAUUUUGUAUAUAUCUAUAACUAGUUAUGUAAUAUAGCUCUGCUGUGAAGCCUUUGAUUUUGGGGCUAAGACUUAGAGGUUCUUUAACUUGACAUACAAGCCAUGAUAUCAGAUUGUUAAGUACCAAAUGGGUCACUUUAUGAUCUGUCAUGUUUGAACUAGUUAUAACACUAGAGGAUUUGGCAAAAUUACAAACAUUUUUUAUUUCCUGAUCACUCUUGAGCUUUCCUCGGGAAAAUUGUCACAAUUUGGUUCUUAAAACAAUACUGUUUGUGUGUUCUCCUUAUAUUACGUUGACUGAUUCUAACAUCAAAUCAUUUUUAUUAUCUAUCAAAUAUGUAUCAUCAUAUCCAUCAUCCAUGCAAACAGUUGCUGAACAUUGAACAACGCUAAAAACCAUGGCAUCAUACUGGCCCUAUAUGUUUAAGAAUUUGCAGCCUAAUGUUUUUCACUACUUUUCAUAUUAUAACAGAAAGUAGAAGAAGAGAAAUAUUUUUUUGACUAAACAACUAAGCGACAAGCCUUAGACAAACGAAGAAACAUUGCAAAGACAUGUCAUUUACAAUAACUCUAGUUUCUAGUGUGGUCAUAAAGCACGUGAAUAUUCAUCAUUUGACUCUUGCUUGCUAUACAUAAUCAUACCGAGAAACAACGAUUAAAUUAUCUUUCAUUUCUGCAUAUACUUAAUAUAUGAGGAUUACAGUAGUAGUUUUAUACCAGUAGUUACUGAUGAUAAUAACAUAUAUAUAUGAAUAUAUAUAUAUAUAUAUAUAUUCAUCAAAGUAUAUAUAUCUUCAUCAAAGUCAUUGUUAUCUAUUACUCUUCUUCAAAUAAUUGACUUCCUUUGUUUUCUUUCUAUCUAGAAUACUCCACAUGAGCAAUAAGGUACAUUUAGAUACUAUUCGGAUUCUUAGCUAUAGAUGACCAAAAAAAAAAAAAAAAAAUUGGACGCCAAUUCAGAGUCAGGUCUCGUAACCCCAGAUUUCCUCAUUUCCACCAUCAAAACACGAAACCCUUUCUCCCUGAUCAAAUCCCAGAUUCAGAUUUAACCAAUUCGAUAGCGAAAUCACGAUUACGAAAGAAAAAGUUUGGAUCUUUUUUUUCUCUUCACAGAGGAUUAUCCAGAACGCGAAAGAGAAUCAGCAAACCCUAGAAAAUCAGAUCUAUUUGAUUGAAAAGGAGGAUUCUUUUGGCGGCUAGCGACGCGAGUUUUACGCUUUGUACGCCACGCGCUAUUGUGAUUUGACGGGAAAGGGUUUGAAAAGUCCGACACAGCCACCGUUUUGUGUGUGUGUGAGGAGGGCUGAGAUGGUCAUUUCGUAUUUUUUAGUAAAUGUUAAAAUUAAUUCGCUGGCGGACAGCCAGUAGUUCUUGAUAUAUCGGGUGGGUCCCGUAAUUUGCUUAUUCUUGUGACGGCUAUAGAUAGAGAUUUUGCCACGUGUUACUCGUUUUCACUGCCUAAUUUGUUAGGCUUUUUUUUUGUAGUCACUGGUCAAUGAUGUUGUCUUAAGCCACGUAAGGUUAGUCAGGACUCAACAAAAUACAAUCUUGUUGUCUUAAGCUACUUAAGGUAGCCAGGACUAAGUUAAAUAGAAAUCUUCUUUUAAAUUGCAAGUAAAGUCUCAUUCUAAUUGUGGUUGAGAAUAGACCAGGACUUCAAAAUUUUCUUUUAGAAAAAAAGCAUAAUGAAAUAAAAUUUCUUGAAUUUGUGCUUCAAAUUAAUGUUAACAAAAUACAUUAUCAAAUAAAAUAAUGAAUAUCAUAAAAAUACAAAUCUAUAAAAUUGGAACAUACUCAUUUUAAAUCUUGUCUCAUUUGGAUUUUAAACAUAUAGUUAGAAUGAGUUUAGUUGCAAGAAUUACCGUCACUCCCACGUCUCAUGUUUAAUAUAGAAAGCAAAUCUCAAGAUGAUAACAUUUUGAUGAUAAAAAUAGUAAACUAAGGUUUUCGGUAUAAUAUUAUAAUUAGUUUACACGUACACAUGAGUACAUAUCAUCUCUCAAGUUAAUUUAGAUUGCAAAAAGCUUGAAUCCACGCUAUUCAGUGUUACAAGUCCUUUAUCUACGGACAUCCCUCUCCUCUGGAAUGGCAAAUGGAGAAAACGAAAUGAAAAAAUGACUGAUGGCUCAAAUUAUAAGUCGCACACAAACAAAACAGAAAUAUUAUCUUUGUUUUCUUUCUCCUCAACGCUCUUUUCCUUGCGUGUGUGGGAUUUAUUCUGUUCAUCUUGUUACAAGCUGAUAUUCAUCAACCUAUUAACCUCAUUUGGAAAAAAAAAGUUUUGAAAGAAGAAGAAAAAGAAGAAAGAGAAAUUUCGUAAAUGGAGGAUGAUAUAUAUAGUAACCACUAAGCGUUUUCUUGAUCCUUCAUCAUCUUUAAGAUUGGUCUUUCUUUAAAAGAACAAUGCCUGUGCCAGAUCCACGAGCGGGGCAGGCAUUCAUCUGUCUCAUUACCUUAUUUCUUUUCUUGUCGAUUGCUGUCGGAGGAGGUUGUCUCAUUGCAUACACAGUCCUUCCUUACCCUUCAAUCUGGCUCGCUUACAUCGGCAUUUUCUUUGUUUGUCUUCCUUGGUUCUUUUGGAUCUUAACAUUUUCAUACCGCAUUGUUUCACGCACUUUUGGAUUCAGGAUGGUCAUUGGAUCUGGUGGUAACAAUAACAGUGCCAAUGGAGAGGCCAAGCCACGCGAACUUGACCCUCCCGAGCAAUCGUUAGAGUCUCCUAAAGAUGAACCUGAGGCAAUGGCUCGUCCGCAAGGCCAUAUUCUAAUGUCAAUGGAAGGGAACCAAUCCAAGAAACGAAUGUCAACAUCCAGCGUCGGUUCACAUGAAAGUGAGAUGCCACUAGCCAUUUCUAUGGGCUCAUGAUGAUCAUAUAUGCUUCCUUUGAUAUAUAAUGAGAUCUUGACAUUGAUAGCAUCAGGACGGAGAUGCUAACCAGAUGCUUAGCCUCUUGAAAACAUGGAUAUAUAUUUGCUGUUUUUACUUUGUAUCUUAUACAGAUAGAUUUGUAGAUUCAACAAAAGAAGAAGUUUUACACCUUUUACUACUACCAAAGUUUUUCCCUCAAGCCCAAACCCCAACAAAGUUUUUUUUUUUUUUUUGGUAAAAAAACCCCAACAAAGUUGAGGUGGUUUUCCGGUUUAUGUUUAGAAAUCGAGAGAAAUGUUUGUUACAAAGGGGAA